rnacentral:rRNA from 1 species
GACGAACCGUGCGAACGUUGUUCGGAAUCACUGGGCUUAAAGGGCGCGUAGGCGGGCCAUCAAGUCCGGGGUGAAAUCUUUCGGCUCAACCGGAAAAGUGCCUUGGAUACUGAUGGUCUUGAGUGAGGUAGGGGCAUGUGGAACUUCCGGUGGAGCGGUGAAAUGCGUUGAUAUCGGAAGGAACUCCGGUGGCGAAAGCGACGUGCUGGACCUCUUCUGACGCUGAGGCGCGAAAGCUAGGGGAGCGAACGGG